UAAGCAUAUCAAUAAGCGGAGGAAAAGAAACCAACAGGGAUUGCCUUAGUAACGGCGAGUGAAGCGGCAACAGCUCAAAUUUGAAAUCUGGCCCUUGGGUCCGAAUUGUAAUUUGUAGAGGAUGAUUUUGGUGCGGUAUCUUCCGAGUUCCUUGGAACAGGACGCCUUAGAGGGUGAGAGCCCCGUACGGUUGAAUGCCUAGCCUCUGUAAAUCUCCUUCGACGAGUCGAGUAGUUUGGGAAUGCUGCUCUAAAUGGGAGGUAAAUUUCUUCUAAAGCUAAAUAUUGGCCAGAGACCGAUAGCGCACAAGUAGAGUGAUCGAAAGAUGAAAAGCACUUUGAAAAGAGGGUUAAAUAGCACGUGAAAUUGUUGAAAGGGAAGGAUUUGUGACCAGACUUUUUCUGGGCGGAUCAUCCGGGGUUCUCUCCGGUGCACUUCGCCCAGUAAAGGCCAGCAUCGGUUUUCGGCGUGGGAUAAAAGCAGUAGGAAUGUGGCUCUCUACGGGGAGUGUUAUAGCCUAUUGUAUAAUACCGCGCUGGGGACCGAGGUUCGCGCUUCUGCAAGGAUGCUGGCGUAAUGGUUAUCAAUCACCCGUCUUGAAACACGGACCAAGGAGUCGAACAUUUGUGCGAGUGUUUGGGUGUUAAACCCUCACGCGUAAUGAAAGUGAACGGAGGUGAGAGCCCUUACGGGUGCAUCAUCGACCGAUCCUGAAGUUUUCGGAUGGAUUUGAGUAAGAGCAUAACUGUUCGGACCCGAAAGAUGGUGAACUAUGCGUGGAUAGGGUGAAGCCAGAGGAAACUCUGGUGGAGGCUCGCAGCGGUUCUGACGUGCAAAUCGAUCGUCAAAUCUGCGCAUGGGGGCGAAAGACUAAUCGAACCAUCUAGUAGCUGGUUACCGCCGAAGUU
rnacentral:rRNA from 1 species